UACGAAGGGGGCUAGCGUUGCUCGGAAUCACUGGGCGUAAAGGGUGCGUAGGCGGGUCUUUAAGUCAGGGGUGAAAUCCUGGAGCUCAACUCCAGAACUGCCUUUGAUACUGAAGAUCUUGAGUUCGGGAGAGGUGAGUGGAACUGCGGAGUGUAGAGGUGAAAUUCGUAGAGUAUUCGCAAGAACACCAGUGGCGAAGGCGGAGCUCGA
rnacentral:rRNA from 1 species